GAUGAACGCUGGCGGCGUGCCUAAUACAUGCAAGUCGAGCGAACAGAUGAGGAGCUUGCUCCUCUGACGUUAGCGGCGGACGGGUGAGUAACACGUGGAUAACCUACCUAUAAGACUGGGAUAACUUCGGGAAACCGGAGCUAAUACCGGAUAAUAUAUUGAACCGCAUGGUUCAAUAGUGAAAGACGGUUUUGCUGUCACUUAUAGAUGGAUCCGCGCCGCAUUAGCUAGUUGGUAAGGUAACGGCUUACCAAGGCGACGAUGCGUAACCGACCUGAGAGGCUGAUCCGCCACACUGGAAGUGAGACACGGAGCAGACUCCCAAGGGCGGCAUCAGUAGGGAAUCUUGCGCAAUGGGCGAAAGCUUGACGGAGCAACGCGGCGUGAGUGAUGAUGGUCUUCGGAUCGUAAAACGCUGUUAUUAGGGACGAACAAAUGUGUAAGUAACUAUGCCCGUCUUGACGGUACCUAAUCAGAAAGCCACGGCUAACUACGUG
rnacentral:rRNA from 1 species